GUGCCAGCCGCCGCGGUAAUACGUAGGGUGCAAGCAUUAAUCGGAAUUAUUGGGCGUAAAGGGCGUGUAGGCGGAUGGGUAAGUCAGAUGUGAAAUUCCGGGGCUCAACCUCGGAGCUGCAUUUGAAACUACCUAUCUAGAGGGUUGACGGAGAAAACGGAAUUCCACGUGUAGCGGUGAAAUGCGUAGAUAUGUGGAAGAACACCAGUGGCGAAAGCGGUUUUCUAGUUAAUACCUGACGCUGAGGCGCGAGAGCAAGGGGAGCAAACAGGAUUAGAUACCCUGGUAGUCCUUGCCGUAAACGAUGUAUACUUGAUGUAGCUGGGCUCAACCCUGGCUGUGUCGGAGCUAACGCGUUAAGUAUACCGCCUGAGGAGUACGCUCGCAAGGGUGAA
rnacentral:rRNA from 1 species